AAUAUUCCUGUGUGUCUACGACCACCGUACAUCUGACAACAUCUUACAGCUGACAUUCGUAUUUGUUUUCGGAUUUCUACUUUGGUUUUAUUACCCGGAAACUAAUUCAGAUACGAUUAUUGAUACGACCAUACGAGCCGCCGUGGUGCUGACUCUUAUCCACGUCUGCUUUUCUUGGACUCUUCCUUCAUCUUAGUUUUUAAUUAUUUUCAAUGUCAAUUGAUCAUUCACCCACUCACUGCCAUGUCAUUCGUCUCCAACGGCGAUUAUAAUUUAGCUAACUUUGC
rnacentral:lncRNA from 1 species